GCAACAUCGGUCCAAUCCUUAAAGUCAUCCUCAGUUCGGACUGGGGUCUGNAACCCGACCCCACGAAGCUGGAUUCGCUAGUAAUCGCGCAUCAGCCAUGGCGCGGUGAAUACGUUCCCGGGCCUUGUACACACCGCCCGUCAAGCCAUGAAAGCCGGGGGCGCCUGAAGUCCGUGACCGCGAGGGUCGGCCUAGGGUGAAACCGGUGAUUGGGGCCAAGUCGUAACAAGGUAAC
rnacentral:rRNA from 1 species